rnacentral:antisense_RNA from 1 species
CUUGACCGUGCCCAGCCACAGGGGCCGUUCCGCAUCCCGGUCCUGCCCAUAGGUGGCCAGCAGUGCCUGCGCCUC